UACGAAGGGGGCUAGCGUUGUUCGGAAUUACUGGGCGUAAAGCGCACGUAGGCGGCUUUGUAAGUUAGAGGUGAAAGCCCGGGGCUCAACUCCGGAAUUGCCUUUAAGACUGCAUCGCUAGAAUUGUGGAGAGGUAAGUGGAAUUCCGAGUGUAGAGGUGAAAUUCGUAGAUAUUCGGAAGAACACCAGUGGCGAAGGCGACUUACUGGACACAUAUUGACGCUGAGGUGCGAAAGCGUGGGGAGCAAACAGGG
rnacentral:rRNA from 1 species